UAACAGAGAACUGUUUUCAACAAAUGCUCAAUAUCCAAGGAUUUUGUUACACCAAAGGCAAAGUCAAACCUGAAUGCCUCUGGUGCCUGCCUGCCUGCGGUGCCUCGGCUUGGUCUUAGGACUCCCACCCAGGAGAGGAAAAAGCGCUCAUUGUGCGGCAAACAGUGCUGGGCAAAGAGGAAGUGUUGCAUCACGCGUCAGAGCCGAGGGGCGCCUUCCCCUCCCAGACAGACCUGGUGAUGAGCAAGACUGGUUCUUAAAUGAAGCGGGUGGAAAGCCAUCUUUCAGAAUAAGGGUCCUGUGCUGCUUAGCCCUGUGCUCCUUCACUUAAGGCUAAAGACAGAAGGAAAACAUGCCCUCAGGACUCCGUUCCUCCAGAUCCACCAGGUUUGCCUCUGGAGUUAGCGUCUCCCUGGAUUCCUGUAACAGAGAAUUCCGUAUUGUUCUCUGUCAGACACUAACUGCACAUCCAGGCUCGAAACACUGCUGUGGUCUCGAAACACUGCUCGCCCUGUUUCUCUCGCUGACUUGUUGAGGCUUCCAUAUGGCUCUCUGCCCUCUACGGUCACGCGUCCUCGGGUUUUUGCCCCCAGUAGUGACAACCACCCUCCUGCGACCCCCACGGCAUCCUUUCUAAGUUCUCAUCCUCUCACCUUCUCGUCUGCACGAUCAAGCAUCUGGAAGCCGUGGUCAGCGCUUCCUGCCCGCCUCCUCGCGCCCACGCACUCCUGGACCACAGGAUCGUCCCUCCUCAUCGCUGCCCUAAAAUCCCUGAGAUCACACGACCACUUAGUCAUCAGAGACCGGGCCGAGGGCUUUCCCCUCGUCUUCUGCUUCCCCGUUGUGUAGUGACACGGAUGCCCUGUUCCCUCAGCCUUCGUUGCCAGGCUCUAAACCACUCAGGGACUCGCCUCUGCAUUCAGUACAGAGUUCGAAGACAAUCAAGUCCUUCAUGACUUGACCCUUACUACAGAUCUGAUCUCGUAUCUCAACCCAGGGCACGCCUGCGCCCUAACCAAAGAGCAGCUGCCCACAGCUUCGUGUUUUCCCAUGGCUUCUGCCUAGAAUUCCCAUGACCAGUUCGUCCUGGCUGAUGACUACCAUCCUGCAAGACAGCCUAAGUGUCUCCUCCUCCUAGAAGCCUUCCCUUUGACCUACUCCCAGGAUGAGGUGGUAGCCUUUUUUUCUUUUUUCUUCCCCAG
ensembl:lncRNA